rnacentral:rRNA from 1 species
AUUGAACGCUGGCGGCAGGCCUAACACAUGCAAGUCGAGCGGAUGAAGGGAGCUUGCUCCUGGAUUCAGCGGCGGACGGGUGAGUAAUGCCUAGGAAUCUGCCUGGUAGUGGGGGAUAACGUCCGGAAACGGGCGCUAAUACCGCAUACGUCCUGAGGGAGAAAGUGGGGGAUCUUCGGACCUCACGCUAUCAGAUGAGCCUAGGUCGGAUUAGCUAGUUGGUGGGGUAAAGGCCUACCAAGGCGACGAUCCGUAACUGGUCUGAGAGGAUGAUCAGUCACACUGGAACUGAGACACGGUCCAGACUCCUACGGGAGGCAGCAGUGGGGAAUAUUGGACAAUGGGCGAAAGCCUGAUCCAGCCAUGCCGCGUGUGUGAAGAAGGUCUUCGGAUUGUAAAACACUUUAAGUUGGGAGGAAGGGCAGUAAGUUAAUCCCUUGCUGUUUUGACGUUACCAACAGAAUAAGCACCGGCUAACUUCGUG